rnacentral:lncRNA from 1 species
GCCAAGGCACCGCAAAGCAGCAGCAGCCAAGCGUGCGGGGCACGGUGCCUCCUGUUCGCGGCGCACCCGUGCGGGGCACGGAGCGCCCCCUCCCCGCGGCUCCCCCCAGGCCCAGGCUCCUUCCGGGCACAGCGCGUCCCGGCCGCCUCGGCCUGACUGGUGCUUGGGAAGCAGAGGGCACAGGAGCCGCGGACCCCGUGACCGGCGAUGCCCCCGCGAGGGCUCUGUGCCUGACCAGGGCUCUGCUCCCAAGAGGCCCCAGGCAGGGGUCUGCUCGCUGUGCACCGCGGCCACUGCUUCCCGGCCCGGGACCCUCGCCCGCCGCUGGGACCCCGCGGACCGCCGCCGAGACGGACCCGGUGGUCACUGUCAGCCACAACCUCCAGCCUUCGACCUGAGCUGUCAGUCACAGCUGUCAGUCAAGCGGCUCCGGCCUCCCGCGAGUGUCCGCUCCGGGUGGCCGCCAGGGGGCGCCGCUGCCGCGACCCCGCGGACACAAGGGGCGGCUUCCAGGACGCGUCUGCACCCGGGGAUCUCGGAGACAAGCGCAAUGAGAGGUGUGGACGGCCAGGCGCCUGGAACACCGGGGCACCAGGUAGGCCGCCGCGCAGCCGAGCCCCGGCGAACCUCGCCUCCAGAACCAGGCCACGGGCAGCGGUCCGGCGUCGAGAGCUGGUGAGAGCGAAAGGGGCGCCGGUGCCUCAGGGACGGCGGUCAGUAGAGACGAAGCGACAUCUGGGACGGAAACCAUCGAGGAGGGUCGGACACGUGCUUCAGCGUGUUCACUUUUUACGGAGCCGAAGUCUGUAAAUCUCAGGACACAUCACUUUGCAGUGCCCCACUCAGUGCGUCCACUUCCCCAGUGUCGCAGGAGCACCCCCAGACCCUCCUGCCCCUCCCCCACCACAAGCCCCUCCCACGAACCACAGCCCCUCCCACCUCCCACAAGCCCCUNNNNNNNNNNNNNNNNNNNNNNNNNNNNNNNNNNNNNNNNNNNNNNNNNN